UUAUGUCUGACGUUGUUGAGAGGCGGAGAAACAGGGAUCUUAGUAUGCCGGGAAGCCGAUUUACGUGGAUUCACAAGGACGAUGUGGCGUUUUUUUGAUCUCCCACGUGCAAAGGAAACCGGAUGGACGUGUACAACGCUUUAUUACAAUGGUCAAGAGUUAUACGGCCCAAUUCCGAGAGAAUUGGGCAAUUAUCGUUGACGAACGAACGGGAAUUCUAAGCGUGCUCGGUACACUUUCGGAACCGAAUUGUGCGUAUAAAACAUCUAUUUAUAGGCACUGCGAAGAAAAGGAUUAGAGCGCAGCAUUUACGAGGCUUGAAAGGAGGAAAAAGAAAACCUUUCGCGUCUUCGUUGUACGUAAUCCGUCUAACCCAAUAGCGGAGGCGCGAAGCAUCAUCCCGUGGAAAAACGAAGAGGAAGAGAGCUCAAGCCCCGCGCCUCCUGCAAAUCGUUUGCAUCCGCGAGCCUCCCACUCGCGGCAAUUGGAAAGAGCAGAAUACAAGCGGAGGGAGAAUCGCGAGAUGGCGGAACAGCCGGUUUAAUAAACGAUCAUCGAGACUUCCCGGUCUUAUCUCGAUGAGGCAGCAAUCCUGAGAAUUCAAGGAGGUUCAGAGCCCUUGUGGAAAAAAGGAGAGCGAGCGAAUGAACUUGUUGGUAUCCGACUGGAAACCGCCAUUUUUCUUCAUUUCUUUUGCCUCGUAUGUACUCAAGAAUUUUCAACGACGCUAUGAGUCUAUUGUGCAGUUCUGAAAUUACGCGUGUUCGCUAAAACUGUCGCAACUCGAUAGUAAAAAAAGAAAGAAAUAAUAGUUUCUCGCGUGAAAUUGAAUUAUUUAUUUCUAGUUGUUGGAAGUUGCUUAAAAACAUCGAUGAAAUGUUGAAAGAAAAAAAUUGCGAACGCAAACCGUUGAGUAAAUUGGACGUACAUCUCUCGUCAUAAACGUGUAUUUUAUCAUAACAAUAUGUGCAUGUUCACCAUGGCAGCGAGAGACCAGAAUGUUUGUCUUGUAU